CAAUACUUUAUUUCAGAACAACAUGUAAAUACAUCAUUAUUAAGAAAAAGGAAACCCAGAGGUUAGCCCUAUAUCAAGGGUCUCCUAGAUCAAGGGUCUGCUAUACAUAAUCGUACAGUCUUUAGUUUAGAAACAGUACACAGAGACUUUGUCGUGGUGACAAACUUAAAGAUGGAUUUCAAAAUAGCAAAUACCAUGGUGAAUGGUGAUAAUACCAAUGUAAUAGUUCUUAAAAGAACUGUUUUAACCAGAACACUAACCCAACCAACACUAACCCUUGGCUUUCUUUGAUUUUGAUUUCGUAACAACUUUUCAAGUGCCCUUUACGUAAAUUGAUUUUCUAAUCAAAGGAUUUUUAAGAGCUUGAAGUGACUGCACAACCCUGUUAUACAUCAUCGUUGGCGUUUUCAUAGUCGUGUGUAAAAAUAUCGCUUUACCAUAUUCAACAUGAAGAUUUGCUCUUCCUUGGAUCAGUCAAGCAAAUGUCAUAAAUCUAUAGCCUUCCGUUUAACAGUAAAUGGAACUGAACAAUCUUCAUCAGUGGGUGCAGCUAGAUAUUCACACCAAAAAUCAUUAUCAGGAUCUUUGACAGCAUGAAAUGUUAAUGCGGUAUGUGAAUGAUUAGAAUGUGAUUGUUUCGCCUCGUUA